UACAGAGGUCUCGAGCGUUAGGCGGAAUCACUGGGCUUAAAGGGUGUGUAGGCGGGCAUUUAAGUCUGGGGUGAAAUCUCCGAGCUCAACUCGGAAACUGCCUUGGAUACUAUUUGUCUUGAAUUAUGUUGAGGUUGGCGGAAUAUAACAUGUAGCGGUGAAAUGCAUAGAUAUGUUAUAGAACACCGAUUGCGAAGGCAGCUAACUAAGCAUAUAUUGACG
rnacentral:rRNA from 1 species